CCUACGGGGUGCAGCAGUGGGGAAUAUUGGACAAUGGGCGAAAGCCUGAUCCAGCCAUGCCGCGUGUGUGAAGAAGGCCUUCGGGUUGUAAAGCACUUUCAGUGGGGAAGAAAGCCUUGGGGCUAAUACCCUCGAGGAAGGACAUCACCCACAGAAGAAGCACCGGCUAACUCCGUGCCAGCAGCCGCGGUAAUACGGAGGGUGCGAGCGUUAAUCGGAAUUACUGGGCGUAAAGCGCGCGUAGGCGGUCUGAUAAGCCAGUUGUGAAAGCCCCGGGCUCAACCUGGGAACGGCAUCCGGAACUGUCAGGCUAGAGUGCAGGAGAGGAAGGUAGAAUUCCCGGUGUAGCGGUGAAAUGCGUAGAGAUCGGGAGGAAUACCAGUGGCGAAGGCGGCCUUCUGGACUGACACUGACGCUGAGGUGCGAAAGCGUGGGUAGCAAACAGGAUUAGAUACCCCUUAGUC
rnacentral:rRNA from 1 species